AGACUAAGCCAUGCAUGUCUAAGUAUAAACGCUUCUAUACUGUGAAACUGCGAAUGGCUCAUUAAAUCAGUUAUAGUUUAUUUGAUGGUUCCUUACUACUUGGAUAACCGUAGUAAUUCUAGAGCUAAUACAUGCAGAAAGUCCCGACUUCUUGGAAGGGAUGUAUUUAUUAGAUCCAAAACCAGCGCGAGUUUCCUUCGGGGGCUCGGUUGCAUGGUGAUUCAUGAUAACUGCUCGAAUCGCAUGGCCUUGCGCCGGCGAUGAUCCAUUCAAAUUUCUGCCCUAUCAACUUUCGAUGGCAAGGUAGUGGCUUGCCAUGGUGACAACGGGUGACGGAGAAUUAGGGUUCGAUUCCGGAGAGGGAGCCUGAGAAACGGCUACCACAUCCAAGGAAGGCAGCAGGCGCGCAAAUUACCCAAUCCCGACUCGGGGAGGUAGUGACAAUAAAUAACAAUGCUGGGCUAUCGUAGUCUGGCAAUUGGAAUGAGUACAAUCUAAACCCCUUAACGAGGAACAAUUGGAGGGCAAGUCUGGUGCCAGCAGCCGCGGUAAUUCCAGCUCCAAUAGCGUAUAUUAAAGUUGUUGCAGUUAAAAAGCUCGUAGUUGGAUUUCGGGGCAGCCCGGCUGGUCCGUCGCGAGGCGAGUACUGGUCGGCCGCCCUUCCUCUCGAAAGCCCCGACUGCUCUUCACUGUAGUGGUCGGGGAGUUCGGGACGUUUACUUUGAAAAAAUUAGAGUGUUCAAGGCAGGCCAUCGCCUGAAUACAUUAGCAUGGAAUAAUGGAAGAGGACCUCGGUCCUAUUUUGUUGGUUUCUAGGGCCGAAGUAAUGAUUAAGAGGGACAGUUGGGGGCAUUCGUAUUUAAUUGUCAGAGGUGAAAUUCUCGGAUUUAUGAAAGACGAACAACUGCGAAAGCAUUUGCCAAGGAUGUUUUCAUUAAUCAAGAACGAAAGUUAGGGGUUCGA
rnacentral:rRNA from 1 species